rnacentral:lncRNA from 1 species
UCCAAGUUAUAUCACCCGGAAAAAACGAAAAUCAAAGGACCUUUAACCCAGAGCCUGUUCUUCUUCUCAGAGAUAGCCAAAUCGGACGCUAAAUCACAAAAAUAUUCAUGCGAGUGUGCCUCAAUUCGCAUUACGCGUCUUCUUUCUCUCUUCAUCACCAUAUUUGUAACAAUCUCUAACAAAUUCUCCCGACCCAUCCCUUUCUCACGUGUUGGAAGCCUCUAGAAGGCAUAUGCUAGAUGAAUAUGGAGCGUAGGUUCGAUUUCAAUGAAUCGCAGCCCUUCAUUCAUCAGGUUGGUGCCUGAUAAGUACAGAGAAUUUUGGAGGAUUUUUCGUAGGGACGGGAUGGAGAGAAAAGGGCCAAGAGAUUUCAAUUCUAACAGACAAAGUAUAUGAAAGAGACAUAGUGGUUCGAUUUCUCUUGCAUCUUUACUCCAUUUUACUUCGCUUUGGAUUUUUGGUAUCAAGUAUGGAGUUCGAGUGAGUCAUUUGUCGAUUUGAGUUCCGAUCGAGGCUCGUUCGAGGUUGCUGGCUGCUUUCGCUUGGCUGCUGUGUGAUUCAAAUUUUCACUGCCGAGGUCCCUUGUAUUUCCGCCCCUGAAAUUAAUAGAAAUUUUGAGCAUCCAGGUUUUUUUCCCUCCUGUGCUACUUUGUUUAUAUGGUUUAAAACAUGGUUAGGAGAUUCAGUUUCGUUGGAGCUGAGAUUUAUGUGAUGUCGAUGUGAUAAGCCGCAUUUUGAUAACUUUAUAGCUGGUAACGCAUUUUAAUUAAAGCGUGAUUAGUUGUGAAACGAUUAGCUGAAUUUCAUUCUAGUAACAUGCUCUUCGUGAUUGCGAACAUUAACCGUUUGGGUGUAAGUCCUAUGUGCUUGAGUUUAUUUUUGUAAAAAUUAAAGUUUAAGCUUCAAGUUGUACCUUUCCAUUGCUGAAAUCUGCCCUAAUUUCUGGCUCUCUUUUACAUUUGAGAACAUUGGUUCGAGCACUUGGUAUCCUUUGAUUGUUUGUUCUACUCCCUAUUCAUUAUUUUCAAAUUGUGAGUGUGUCAUUCUGCUGUACUCUGCACGAGCCACAAGAUUCAGGGCUUGUUUAAAGGUUCAGGAAAAUCAUCAAGCAGUACCAGGAAUGUGUGGUUGGUCCAUGAUGACCCUCAUUGCCAACCUUGAUAUUUUCUAUUUGGAAAUUUAGCACAUAGCUUGUCAUUGGUUGUGUUAAGCCUAACCUCAGUGAAAUUUGUUCAAGUUUCCUGAUGAGAAUCAAUUCAUUAGAGAUUUUUGUGCUAAUUAUAGACUAAUACAUGUCCUGGAUUCUUUGUGAUUUAGUUGCUGAAUUCCAUUUCUUCUUAUAAGUUGAGUUAGUAUCAAGGAGACGUAAUACUCAUUAAGUUCAGAAUGUCAGUCCACGUGUGGGUAGACUUUCAUCCAAAUCUUAUUGAAUUUUAUUAUUUUAAAAAUUCGUUUGGGCUAUCCAAGUCGAGCAGCAUUUGAAUUAGGAGGUCUUCGCCUUGUUCAAGUGUGGACUUGAACGUGAAGCCCACAACUUAAUUUUAAUGAAUGAUAGCUCACAUUACUAAUUAAUUAGGUUUUUUCUUAGAGACAAUUCAUACUAGAAACAUAAUAGUCCCUUUUAAGUUGGCCUUUAAUAAUGAAAAUGAGGUGCGCCGCGCCAAACAAAAAUGUAUAAAUCGCGUGGCUCUCUUUAAAUACUUAUAUUAAAAUACUUAGAAUUCGGCACAUGCCGCUUAGUGAACUUCACGGCUUCUCGGAAAUGUAACAACACGUUAGCCGCUUUAGGAGCGUCAUUUAAUUAUAUUACUUCCCUAAAUUUGGGUGCAUAUUUAUGUGACCCAAAUCCAAAUCUCAACGAAGUUGAAAUGUGUCAAAAAUCGCAGGUGCAUUUAUGUGGCAUGGUUUUAUACAUGUUGCAACGACGUUACAAUUUCCUUUAAAUAAUAAUAAUAAAAGCGGUUGAAGGUUAAAAAGCACAUAAAUCAAAACAUGUUCUAGAAUCAGAUAAUUUAAGCCAAAUAUAACAGUUGAGCGACCGUGCUAGAACCAUGGAACUCGGGAAUGCUUAACACCUUCUCCCGGAUUAACAGAAUUCCAUAUUCGAAUUUCUAGUUUGCGAACUGUUAAACAGAGUCAUUCUUCCCUCGACUCGGGACUCUAGCUGGUGACUUGGGACACCAUAAAUCUCCCAAGUGGCGACUCUGAAAUUCUCUUAAAUAAUUGAAUCCUGUUUCGAUUGUUCUUUAAUUGAAAAACUCCCUUAUCUACGCCCUUCAUCGGGUUGUGGAUAGCCAAAAGGAGGUGUGACACUUCCUACCCUUUAAAAAGAUCUAAAAAUCAUGCUUUUUAACAAACUCCUACUCAUCUUAUAUCUGGAACGUUCUACUCAAUAGAAAAGAUUCCCUCCCCCGCCUAGAAUUCCUGAAUUGCACUUUGCCUGAUUGAUUAUUACAAACCUUACCUGACCCUUAAGACCCCUAAAGUUUUUCCUUUGAUGCAAUUAAGAUCCCAAAAGUUCCUACUAAUUAAUAACUAAGACAAACAACAAAUUUCAGAAUUGAAGGAACAAAGAAGAUCAAACAAACCAAUAUCGAAUUACUUAUAACUAGACCUGCAUCUACUACUUGAAUCUAUUCAAAAACUAAUAUGAAUGAACUGGACAAUAAUAUCUCUAAAACCCUAAUAUGCCAAUAUUUCCAUUCUCUUAAUUAACAUGAUCAAACUGAAUUUAUAAUAAAUAAAACUCAGAAAAAGAAGAAGACAAGAACAACAGAACAAAAAAAAAAGAAACACAAAAACUUAAUCCUGCAUCUACUACUUGAAUGUAUUCAAAAACUAAUAUGAAUGAACUGGACAAUAAUAUCUCUAAAAUCCUAACAUGCCAAUUUUUCCAUUCUCUCAAUUAACAUGAUCAAAUCAAAAUUUAAAAUAAAUAAAACUGAGAAAAAGAAGAAGACAAGAACAACAAAACAAAACAAAAGAAACAUAAAAACUUAAUAUAAAAUAUGCAGACCUAAAUUAUGAUAGAAUGCAGAAGAAAACAAAAAUCAAAAGACGAUAAAGAGAAGAGGAUUACCUGAAGCAACCUCUUUGACACUGGACCCACUCACUCAUAUCGUCUAGCCAAAGGAUGAAUUCAAAAAAUCGUUAAUUGUCUAUUCUUAAAAAGAAUAAAUUGACUAACAGAUGUCUUGAGUUCACCCAAACCUCUCAAGACCCCAAAAAAGUGCGAAAAGGAAACAUGGGCUAGGGCUUCGUAUUUCAGAUUCAAGAUUCGAAGAUUUUGACACCGAUUUGAGGGAAAUAAAAUACAUAUCGGGUAUAAGGAGUCAAUGCAGUUGUAUGGUGUUAAUUUAUUACUGGAUAGAGUCAGCGCCGCUGGACAUGGCGGAGGCGGUUCUAGGGUUUCGAUUAUUUGAAGAGAUUGAGUGGGAUUCGAGGGAAAUUAAUUAUGGAUUCGGAAUGGGAAGGUGGUGGGAAUCUAUGGUGUAAAUAUGGAAGGGAUUGGGUGAUCACCGCCGCCGUAGGGACAUUUUUGCUGGCGGUCUAGGGCGGAGCCGGUGUAGGUCGUCUCUGAUGAGAGAGGGAUGAGAGAGAGAAACGGGCUUGGGGGGUAGGAUGGUUCAGACAUUUAUAUAUUAAGUGAACCCGUAGUUCUGAGUUGUAAGAUCAAAGAUCCUCGACGGCCUAGAUUGCCUUUACCCCAAAACAGGGUCGUUUCGUCUCCACUGGAGACUGGGCCGGUUGGGAGACGGGUUCUGGGUUUGGUAUUGGGGUUGUUUCGUUUGGCUUUAGCAAGGGAACUAUUGGCUGGCCCAAUCUUUUAAUUCUCUUUCAUUUGUUUAUUUUUCUUUUUCUUUUCUUCUUUUUCUUAGUUAAUUUAAAAUCGAAAUCAAAUCCUAAAACUUAAUUAACCUAUCAAAAACACUAGAUAAAUCUAAAUAGUCAUCACAAUUUAUUGAGAAGGCAAAUUAUAAGAAAACUACACAAAAAAUCAAAAAUUAAAGUUAAGUGCAAAUUAAGCUAUUUUUGUAAUUUUUUUAUAUAUAUAUAUAAAAUGAACCAAUUACUUGAUGAUUCUUUAAAAUUCAAACAGAUAAAAGAAAUGAUUAUGUUUGAAUUUAUGGGAGUAAUUCAUAUAGGGCAAAAAUUACAUGUUCAUAGUUGUCUCUCGUUGCCCGGAAAUAUGAAGAGUUUUCGUGCAAAGAUAAGUGAACGGACACGAGCGAUUUUUUCCCAUUUUUUCCCCUUGUUCUACAGGUGGGCGCCUGAUUACCAGGAUUUGAAAUUUGAUCUGUAUUCCCUCUUUCUAAAGGUGGGUGCCUAAUUACCGAAACUUGAAAUUUGAAAUGUAUUCCCUUGUUCUGCAGGUGGAAGGCUUAUUACUAAAACAUGAAACAUGAAAUAUAUUCCCUUGUUCUGUAGGUGGGCGCCUGAUUACCAAAGCUUGAAAUUAGAAAUGUAUUCCAUUGUUCUGUAGGUAGGCGCAUGAUUACCAAAACUUGAAAUUUGAAAUGUAUUCCCAUGUUGUGCAGGUGGGCACCUGAUUACCAAAACUUGAAAUUGGAAAUGUAUUCCCUUGUUCUACAUGUGGGUGCCAGAUUACCAAAACUUGAAAUUUU